UGACCUUUCUUUGUUCUUUUGUUGUGCGG
rnacentral:piRNA from 1 species